rnacentral:rRNA from 1 species
GAUCUGGUUGGGUGGUCCGCCUCACGGUGUGUUUACUGCCUGAACGGGUCUUGCCUCUUGGUGAACCUUUGUGUUCUUAAUUGAGCGCUUUGGGGAACCAGGACUUUUACCUUGAGAAAAUUAGAGUGUUCAAAGCAGGCUGAUGCCUGAAUACAUUAGCAUGGAAUAAUAGAAUAGGACGUGUGGUUCUAUUUUGUUGGUUUCUAGAGUCGCCGUA